GUGAGGAAUAUUGGUCAAUGGACGGAAGUCUGAACCAGCCAUGCCGCGUGCAGGAAUAAGGUCCUAUGGAUUGUAAACUGCUUUUAUUCGGGAAUAAACCUCUUUACGUGUAGGGAGCUGAAGGUACCGAAGGAAUAAGCACCGGCUAACUCCGUGCCAGCAGCCGCGGUAAUACGGAGGGUGCAAGCGUUAUCCGGAAUCAUUGGGUUUAAAGGUUCCGCAGGCGGGCUAUCAAGUCAGAGGUGAAAUCCCACAGCUUAACUGUGGAACUGCCUUUGAAACUGAUGGUCUUGAAUUAAGUGGGCGUUGGCGGAAUAUGACAUGUAGCGGUGAAAUGCAUAGAUAUGUCAUGGAACACCGAAAGCGAAGGCAGCUAACGAUACUUAUAUUGACGCUCAUGGACGAAAGCGUGGGUAGCGAACAGGAUUAGAAACCCCAGUAGUCC
rnacentral:rRNA from 1 species